UAAUCGGAAUUACUGGGCGUAAAGCGCACGCAGGCGGUCUGUCAAGUCGGAUGUGAAAUCCCCGGGCUCAACCUGGGAACUGCAUUCGAAACUGGCAGGCUUGAGUCUUGUAGAGGGGGGUAGAAUUCCAGGUGUAGCGGUGAAAUGCGUAGAGAUCUGGAGGAAUACCGGUGGCGAAGGCGGCCCCCUGGACAAAGACUGACGCUCAGGUGCGAAAGCGUGGGGAGCAAACAGGAUUAGAUACCCUGGUAGUCCACGCCGUAAACGAUGUCUACUUGGAGGUUGUGCCCUUGAGGCGUGGCUUCCGGAGCUAACGCGUUAAGUAGACCGCCUGGGGAGUACGGCCGCAAGGUUAAAACUCAAAUGAAUUGACGGGGGCCCGCACAAGCGGUGGAGCAUGUGGUUUAAUUCGAUGCAACGCGAAGAACCUUAC
rnacentral:rRNA from 1 species